rnacentral:rRNA from 1 species
GUAGGUGGCAAGCGUUGUCCGGAAUUAUUGGGGCGUAAAGCGCGCGCAGGCGGUCCUUUAAGGUCUGAUGUGAAAGCCCACGGGCUCAACCGUGGAGGGUCAUUGGAAACUGGAGGACUUGAGUACAGAAGAGGAAAGCGGAAUUCCAAGUGUAGCGGUGAAAUGCGUAGAGAUUUGGAGGAACACCAGUGGCGAAGGCGGCUUUCUGGUCUGUAACUGACGCUGAGGCGCGAAAGCGUGGGGAGCAAACAGGAUUAGAUACCCUGGUAGUCCACGCCGUAAACGAUGAGUGCUAAGUGUUAGGGGGUUUCCGCCCCUUAGUGCUGCAGCUAACGCAUUAAGCACUCCGCCUGGGGAGUACGGCCGCAAAGGCUGA